rnacentral:sRNA from 1 species
UUGAUUUGGGGAAUCAUCCAAAGGCAUCUUUUGGUGAAGAAGACCCAUGGCACCCAGUGAAGUUGAACACCCUCCUGGAGGCAAGCAGCCACCUUUUAUGAUUUUCUUUCAAUCCUUUCUACUUCCUUGCUCCUUCCUCCCCACCUCCCAUCAUCCAUAGCGUGGGUGAACUAAUCCAUCUCACAAGCGGAGUUCAGAGACUUGCCUUUCCACGCUGCUGCUCCUGUACUUUGUCCUGGCACCUCACCACCGGCAACAAGAGGCUUCUUUCAUAUUUAUCAGCACUUAAUUGCAAUCGCUGCUGCUUUAUGACCUCACAGAGGUCUUCAUCUUCAGUCAUUGUUUCCUGCUGGCUGGUGGAGCCCAGUGAUCACCGUCUUUUCCCACCAUUCAGCUCACAGAGGUGCAAGCUCAGAUGAAUUUUCCAGGCCGCAACUGGGAGAGGCAGUGGCUCAAUCACAAUUGCCUUAAAGGAAACAUUACAAACCCAAACACUGUCCAUUGGAAAAUGUUUUGGGAUGACUUAGGCAGGCCUCUUCCUUUGGAGAAUUGUCUUUGACCAAAUGGGAGUUGCCUAGCCUGGUUUUGCAAUGUUCCUUCCACUGGAGAUGAACCAUAGCCAAUGACUAACUGAUGCAGGGGCCUCAAAAAGACACUUUGCCUCAAAACUGGAUGGACAUAAGUUUCCAAUAGGACUUUGGGAAUGAAUUAAGAUGAUGAAUAUGAAUUUGGCUUCCUUGGAGGCAUUGGCAGGACCAAUGAAGGGAUAAGCUAACUGAAAAGGUUUUAGUUUGUUAUAUUUCAUGAGAGGACUGUGGUGGUCAACUCUACUGGUUGAAGGUCAGACAUGCAUCACUUCAAAGCUUGCUUCCAAGAUGUGACUCAUUUAAAUGUUCAGUUAUUGAUUUCAGCACGGAGUUUGAUAAUUUUUUUCCAUCUACUUGUUUUUGGUGUGGUUUCUUCUUUUUGUU